UACAGAGGGGGCAAGCGUUGUUCGGAAUUAUUGGGCGUAAAGGGCGCGUAGGCGGCCUGCUAAGUCGAACGUGAAAUCCCCGGGCUCAACCCGGGAACUGCGUCCGAUACUGGCGGGCUUGAAUCCGGGAGAGGGAUGUGGAAUUCCAGGUGUAGCGGUGAAAUGCGUAGAUAUCUGGAGGAACACCGGUGGCGAAGGCGGCAUCCUGGACCGGUAUUGACGCUGAGGCGCGAAAGCUAGGGGAGCAAACGGG
rnacentral:rRNA from 1 species